rnacentral:rRNA from 1 species
UACAGAGGGGGGCAAGCGUUGUUCGGAAUUACUGGGCGUAAAGGGCGCGUAGGCGGCCCGCUAAGUCGAACGUGAAAUCCCCGAGCUCAACUCGGGAACUGCGUCCGAUACUGGAUGGCUUGAAUCCGGGAGAGGGAUGCAGAAUUCCAGGUGUAGCGGUGAAAUGCGUAGAUAUCUGGAGGAAUACCGGUGGCGAAGGCGGCAUCCUGGACCGGCAUUGACGCUGAGGAGCGAAAGCUAGGGGAGCAAACGGGG